AGAGGUUGCGCUACCCUGGGAAAGGCUCUCUGCCUCCGCCCUUUGUCCUUUGCCCCUGACCAUGAGCGCCCCAGGCCCAGGGACCUCCUUCGGCGGAUGAGGGCUGGCGGAGACCUGGAGGCUCAGACUUACCGGGCAGGAUCCUAGGCUAUUCCUUGUGCAUCCCAGAAUUUUACCCAUGAACGUGAAUAUGAACGUGUUUUCAACCCCGGCGGUUUCCCCGGCGCCUCGACCCUCCUUUGAAGAGUCAUCCUAGAAGGCUGUAUUGAGAUACUGUUUGUGCCUGUCACUCUGAGCCCUGUAAACAGACAGAAGAAAACGCGAGUCCCUGGUCUGAGGGUGCUCCGUCCCCUGGGUAACCAGGGCACUCCACUACAGCGUUCUCCUGUAGUGUAACAUUACCUACCACUCAUGCUGGUUCCCAUGUGCUAAGCUAAUUUCAACAACGGGUGAAGUGGACAUCUCCAUGUGAUGACUGAGGAGAUAGGUUCUGGAUGUUGCUACUAAGCCUCAUGGAGGCAGCCAUGACAGAGCAGAGCUUUCCGUCCUCCUGUUCCAGAGAGGACUCCUCGUGUUGGGGGCUACAUUCAACACCAGACUCUCCAGAGUACAUCUUUGCAGCUCUAUAAACUUCUGG